rnacentral:rRNA from 1 species
GACGAACGCUGGCGGCGUGCUUAACACAUGCAAGUCGAACGGAAAGGCCCUGCUUUUGUGGGGUGCUCGAGUGGCGAACGGGUGAGUAACACGUGAGUAACCUGCCCUUGACUUUGGGAUAACUUCAGGAAACUGGGGCUAAUACCGGAUAGGAGCUCCUGCUGCAUGGUGGGGGUUGGAAAGUUUCGGCGGUUGGGGAUGGACUCGCGGCUUAUCAGCUUGUUGGUGGGGUAGUUGCUUACCAAGGCUUUGACGGGUAGCCGGCCUGCGAGGGUGACCGGCCACAUUGGGCCUGCGAUACGGCCCAGACUCCUACGGGAGGCAGCAGUGGGGAAUAUUGCACAAUGGGCGGAAGCCUGAUGCAGCAACGCCGCGUGCGGGAUGACGGCCUUCGGGUUGUAAACCGCUUUCGCCUGUGACGAAGCGUGAGUGACGGUAAUGGGUAAAGAAGCACCGGCUAACUACGUG